rnacentral:tmRNA from 1 species
GGGGCCGACCGGAAUCGACAGGAAGUGUAGAUGAUAUGCUUGCAUGUCAGGUGGUGAGUGUACACCUGCGAUCAAUUCGCUCAAACCAUAAUUGGCGAAUCUAAUUACGCCAUGGCAGCCUAAUCUCGAAGUAUAGUAGAGAUUAAUUAGUUCUGGCCCUAUCGGUCAGACCUGCCACAUCCCACCAUGCCUCUGUCCUGUAGGCAGGAGUUUGGGGUGUCGACAUUCGGGACUAGCUAGAAGCGGGGUCGUGAGCUGAUAGUGAAAUUUAAUCGCGACUGGUAGGACGAGUUGGUAGUUUUCCGCCUGCUCCCCUGCGAGAUUAAAAGGAUAACUAAGCAUGUAGAGGGUAUAUUUUUUCCUUCUCUGGACGAGGGUUCGAAUCCCUCCGGCUCCACCU